UACGGGGGGAGCAAGCGUUGUUCGGAUUUACUGGGCGUAAAGGGCGCGUAGGCGGCCUCCGCAAGUCGACUGUGAAAUCUCCGGGCUUAACCCGGAAAGGUCAGCCGAUACUGCGGGGCUAGAGUGCAGAAGGGGCAACUGGAAUUCUCGGUGUAGCGGUGAAAUGCGUAGAUAUCGAGAGGAACACCUGCGGCGAAGGCGGGUUGCUGGGCUGACACUGACGCUGAAGUGCGAAAGCUAGGGGAGCGAACGGG
rnacentral:rRNA from 1 species